rnacentral:lncRNA from 1 species
AUAACUUGCUGAAACUUGGCAAGAAAGGAAAUCAUAUUAAGCUUUCUGUCCCUCCGUAUUUGGUAAGUAAUUUUAUAAUCUAUUAGAACUACUGCUGCUGGCAGUCUUCCCUGGCACAUUUUCCUAUGCUAUAGCCACACCUUGUUAAAUGUCAGUACUUUUUUCCCCCCAGCUAUCUGGUAAUUUUACCAUUAUGAUUUACUACUGGAUAGCACAAAUGUAAUUCCUCUAAAUGUGUCAAUUUCCAAGUAACCAUCUGUUGGCAACAAGUUUGGGACAUAAUUUUCUUUGCUAUUUUUAUCCAUUUGGAAACUUAGGGACCAUGAGUUUCAAUGUGAAGAGUAUUAAUUCCAGCUAAGAGUUUGUAAAUUGCCUUAUUUUACCAUCUCACUUUGAUUUUAAAGUAGUAACUAAGUUCCAGGAAGCACCUAAUCAGAACAUGUCUUGGGUUUAAGAUGUGUUUAUUUGGAAUACUUUAUUUUCCCUAUGCAUAAAAGAAAAAUAUUGCUGGAAUAGUUCUCCAACUAUUGUUUUUAGAUAAGAGCUGAAGCAGAAGCGCCAAGACUGGCAGUCGACUAACCCUUGAGGUAAUUAGGAUCAUGCUGUUAGUCACAUAAUAAUGUACUGCACAUGUGAAUGAGGUGCAGAGAUCUGCAAUGGUGACUCUGCUGACACAAGGAAAGGUUGUGUAUGGAGAGUAUGGCAGGUCCUGAGCUUCAUGCUUCAGGAGUGUUAGAACUAUAGUAUAUAGUUGUCUAAAUACAAUAUUUCUUGUGACAACCAAAAUAUGUUGUGGCUGGUGCCAAUAUUUUUGUUAAUGAAAUGUUGAAUGUCGCAUUACAGUCUGAUCAGAAUUCUCAGUGUAAUAAGCCAGGCCUAAGCCAUUUUAUAGCUAUUGGCCUAACUGUGUAACUUUUUUUUCAAAAUGUUUUAUUAUAAUACUUGUCAUUUCUUUUACUUAAUAUAUGUUGUCAUAAUAAAAAGUUUAAAUAAG